rnacentral:rRNA from 1 species
AGGGCGUCAAGUUCGUGGCUGCAGACCCGAAACCGGGUGAUCUACCCAUGUCCAGGGUGAAGCGGAGGUAAAACUUCGUGGAGGCCCGAACCGACCGACGUUGAAAAGUCGGCGGAUGAGGUGUGGGUAGGGGAGAAAUUCCAAUCGAACCCGGAGAUAGCUGGUUCUCCCCGAAAUAGCUUUAGGGCUAGCCUCGGGAUAUAAGAAUGCGGGAGGUAAAGCGCUGAUAGGGCUAGGGGCCUUCACCGGUUACCGAACCCUGUCAAACUCAGAAUGCCCGCAUUUAUGCCCGGGAGUCAGACGGCGAGUGCUAAGAUCCGUCGUCAAGAGGGAAACAGCCCAGACCGACAGCUAAGGUCCCAAAGUGCCUGUUAAGUGGAAAACGAUGUGGAGUUGCCCAGACAACCAGGAUGUUGGCUUAGAAGCAGCCACCAUUGAAAGAGUGCGUAAUAGCUCACUGGUCGAGUGACUCUGCGCGGAAAAUGACACGGGGCUAAACAGGCCACCGAAGCUUCGGCAAGACG